rnacentral:rRNA from 1 species
AUGAAGGCCCUGUUUUGGAACAUUAGAGGGUUCUGCGCUAGGGGGCGCAGAGACCAACUGAAGGACUUAAUGCGCGCUGAAAGAAUUGAUUUUAUCGGGCUUGUUGAGACUCUUAAACCCUUCUUUUCUCCUUCUGAACUAUCGGCGAUUGUUGGGAUUGAUAGAUUUAGGUGGAAUUUCGUGGCCUCUGUUGGUCAGUCCGGCGGCUUUCUUCUGGGCACCAAUAAUGUCACCUUUGAUUUUGUGGCUUUCGACCAUGGUAUAUACUAG